CAGUGCCGGGUCUGCGCAGCCACAGGUUCCGGACGUCUUGGCCCCGGGAAUAAAUAAAGACAUAAACCAACCCGGCUUUCUCCGGAGGAAUGAGGUCUGAUCAAUGGGCACAAUUUCUAAGCAGCGCAGUGGUGGAUGCUCGCAAACUUUUGCGCACCGCUGGAAACCCACUAGGUUGAGUUGCAAAACGUACCGCGUAGACGCCCCUGGUGGCGCCGAGAGAAGAGCUAGGCCUGCCCAGCACAGAGCCGGAGAGCGUCGGGCCUUCCGGAAGGGUCGACGAGAUGAGUUCCUACUUGACCUCUGAGCCGAGGUGGGCCGGAAACCGAGGCCUAGGCCCCGCCGGGGCUGCAAGGAAAAGGGGAAACUCCGAGCGUAGCGUCUUUUCCUUGUGGUUCCUUUCUCCGGCAUCCCGGACUGCGGGCCCUGCAGCCACCUGGACCGGCAUUCAAAGGAUUCUGCAAGUCCAGCUUCACAGACUGGCUUUCCCAGACGCUCCGAAGCCCGCACCACGAACAGAAUAAAGGAGAGACGAGAGAUCGCAACUAGAUUUGAGAAUCCUCGUUCUUUUCCCCAAUCGUUCGGGCAGUAAACUCCGGAGCCGGCUACAGCGCGCAUCCUCCCUUCCUCCUUUCGGAGAACUGUCGCUUUCCCGAAGCUGCUCCCAGCUGGGUUUUCUCCCGAAGUUUAUUUUUCUCAUUUUGCAAAAUUCCUGCCCUGAUUUUAAUACUGCAACAGGACAGCAGAGGUUCCUCUUUAAAAAGUCAAAACCCAAACCAAAGGGGCCCAUUGCUGUUGAUAAUUUUUUUCUUCACCUUCUCC
rnacentral:lncRNA from 1 species